GUGUCAGCCGCCGCGGUAAGACGUAGGAUCCGAGCGUUGUCCGGAAUUACUGGGCGUAAAGCGCGCGCAGGCGGUAUCGCGCAUCGACGGUGAAAGCCCCCCGCUCAACGGGGGAGGGUCCGUCGAGAUGGCGAAACUGGAGGCAGGGAGAGGUCGGUGGAAUUCCGGGUGUAGUGGUGAAAUGCGUAGAGAUCCGGAGGAACACCAGUGGCGAAGGCGGCCGACUGGACCUGACCUGACGCUGAGGCGCGAAGGCGUGGGGAGCGAACGGGAUUAGAUACCCCCGUAGUCC
rnacentral:rRNA from 1 species